UACGUAGGGUGCAAGCGUUGUCCGGAAUUAUUGGGCGUAAAGAGCUCGUAGGCGGUUUGUCGCGUCUGCUGUGAAAACUCGGGGCUUAACUCCGGGCCUGCAGUGGGUACGGGCAGACUAGAGUGCGGUAGGGGAGACUGGAAUUCCUGGUGUAGCGGUGAAAUGCGCAGAUAUCGGGAGGAACACCCGUGGCGAAGGCGGCACUCUGGGACGGUACUGACGCUGAGACGCGAAAGCGUGGGGAGCAAACAGG
rnacentral:rRNA from 1 species